GGACACCUUAAACCACUCGGCCACCGCGGCCCACCCAGAGGUGGAGGGCUAGUUAUAAAGUGUCGGGAAAAACUUAACCACUCGGCCACUGCGGCCCCACUGUAACACUGAUCUUAAAACAUGGCUGACGCAGUGGUAACACGUACACCUUCCUUUUACCUCAGCAGUUAUGGUUCGAUUCCCUGAUCUGACAUGAAAAGGUAUGGGGUCGCUUCGUGAACUUAGGUAUGGGGUCUCUUCGUGAACUUAGGUAUGGGGUCGCUUCGUGAACUUAGGUAUGGGGUCUCUUCGUGAACUUAGGUAUGGGGUCGCUUCGUGAACUUAGGUAUGGGGUCUCUUCGUGAACUUAGGUAUGGGGUCUCUUCGUGAACUUAGGUAUGGGGUCUCUUCGUGAACUUAGGUAUGGGGUCGCUUCGUGAACUUAGGUAUGGGGUCUCUUCGUGAACUUAGGUAUGGGGUCUCUUCGUGAACUUAUGUAUGGGGUCUCUUCGUGAACUUAGGUAUGGGGUCGCUUCGUGAACUUAGGUAUGGGGUCUCUUCGUGAACUUAGGUAUGGGGUCUCUUCGUGAACUUAGGUAUGGGGUCUCUUCGUGAACUUAGGUAUGGGGUCGCUUCGUGAACUUAGGUAUGGGGUCUCUUCGUGAACUUAGGUAUGGGGUCGCUUCGUGAACUUAGGUAUCGGGUCUCUUCGUGAACUUAGGUAUGGGGUCUCUUCGUGAACUUAGGUAUGGGGUCUCUUCGUGAACUACUUGUUAACUACCGUAGUAAGACCCCUGGUAUGCUUCCAACUGGGCCAACAAGAGGGCUAUAUCCAAGUUGAUAUAACUUGUUUUACAAUUUUUGUAAAACAUAUAAACAUUUUACUCAGAAUGUCAUGAGAUCUCACCUAUGAUAUUUUGUCCAUUCUGGCAGAUAUUCACCACAGUUAUGUUAGUAUGUUAUUAGCCUGGCAUGAUACAGCUAUUUUCAAUGACAAUUGUUGACAGCUUUGUUUUACCUUUUCUAUGUGACCCAGUUUUUCUGACAUUACAUUGUUUAUCACUGUGAAGACAAGUUGUAUUUAUACAUGGUUAAAUAACUCCUGUUUUGUGGUGUGGAUUUGAUGUGCAUUUAUUUCGGAAUGCGUUUUCCACAUUUUCUCAUGAUGGCUAUUUGUAGCAAGUGUUCAGAAUACACUGUAUAUAGCAGUGCUAGUUGUAAUUGUGAUAUUGCACCAUUUGAUAUGAUAGGUUUGUGUUUAUACCUACACACUGUUUACUUGUGUUCAUAUUGUUUGUACACCACACGUUGAUUGGUAUGGUGCCUAUUUUGUGAAAUUUUAAAAGUGUCAUUAAUAUUGAUUUGAUUGUACAAUGUAUAUGUUGCCUACAUGUAUUUGUAAAACCAAAGCUGUACACAGCUCUGUGACUUGGUUGUAUGCAUACAUUUUAUGUCUGCGACUGAAGCUUGGAAGGUUAUUUUUAAAUUAGUAAAUUUGUCAAGUGCAAAAUUUUGGUGUUAAUUGCAGUAUUUUUUAAAGUAAUAUCCAUUAUUUUCACUUCUAUUAUAGGUUUUGUUCCCCAAACCAAGCACAUGAGGUUGUAAUAGGAUAUAAAAUGUGUAGGCAAAAUAAAUGACUUAAUUUUACCUUAAAAAAAUCUCCUAUUUUGACCCUUGGCAUUAUGUAUGUGUACUGUUUACUUGUAUGUUACACACCCCUAUACAGACUUAACAGGACUACACCAGCCUUCCCAGAUCCUCAUGUAGUGAUAUAACUGUGUCAGGACUACACCAGCCUUCCCAGAUCCUGGUGUAGUGAUACAUUAGCUGUGACAGGACUACACCAGCCUUCCCAGAUCCUGGUGUAGUGAUACAUUAGCUGUGACAGGACUACACCAGCCUUCCCAGAUCCUGGUGUAGUGAUAUAACCGUGACACGACUACACCAGCCUUCCCAGAUCCUGGUAUAGUGAUAUAACUGUGUCAGGACUACACCAGCCUUCCCAGAUCCUGGUGUAGUGAUAUAACCGUGACACGACUACACCAGCCUUCCCAGAUCCUGGUGUAGUGAUAUAACCGUGACAGGACUACACCAGCCUUCCCAGAUCCUGGUGUAGUGAUAUAACUGUGACAGGACUACACCAGCCUUCCCAGAUCCUGGUAUAGUGAUAUAACUGUGACACAACUACACCAGCCUUCCCAGAUCCUGGUAUAGUGAUAUAACCGUGACACGACUACACCAGCCUCCCCAGAUCCUGGUGUAGUGAUAUAACCGUGACACGACUACACCAGCCUUCCCAGAUCCUGAUGUAGUGAUACAUUAGCUGUGACAGGACAACACCAGCCUCCCCAGAUCCUGGUGUAGUGAUGUAACCGUGACACGACUACACCAGCCUUCCCAGAUCCUGAUGUAGUGAUACAUUAGCUGUAACACGACUACACCAGCCUUCCCAGAUCCUGGUGUAGUGAUACAUUAGCUGUAACACGACUACACCAGCCUUCCCAGAUCCUCAUGUAGUGAUAUAACCGUGACACGACUACACCAGCCUUCCCAGAUCCUGGUGUAGUGAUAUAACCGUGACAUGACUACACCAGCCUUCCCAGAUCCUGGUGUAGUGAUAUAACCGUGACACGACUACACCAGCCUUCCCAGAUCCUGGUGUAGUGAUAUAACCGUGACAUGACUACACCAGCCUUCCCAGAUCCUGGUGUAGAGAUAUAACCGUGACACGACUACACCAGCCUUCCAAGAUCCUGGUGUAGUGAUAUAACUGUGACAGGACUACACCAGCCUUCCCAGAUCCUGGUGUAGUGAUACAUUAGCUCUAUGACACGACUGCACCAGCCUUCCCAGAUCUCCUGGUGUAGCGAUACAUUAGCUGUGACAGGACUACACCAACCUUCCCAAAUCCUGGUGUAGUGAUAUAACCGUGACACGACUACACCAACCUUCCCAGAUCCUGGUGUAGUGAUAUAACGGUGACACAACUACACCAGCCUUCCCAGAUCCUGGUGUAGGGAUGGAUAUAGGUGAUAUAUUCCAUUUUGACUCUAUUAACAAAUCUAUUGGGACAUUGUGCAAUUUUCAGAACAAAAUCUGCAUUUCUUCUUUUAUCUGAAGGAUUCUCCUGAUGAAUGGUGUCGGUCCUGAUAAAGAUUUAGAGUUAAUUUCUGUACCGUGGAGACCUGAAGGAUGGUGGCAGUCCUGAUAAAGAUUUAGAUAGUUAAUUUCUGUACCAUAGAGACCUGAUGGAUGGUGUCGGUCCUGAUAAAGAUUUAGAGUUAAUUUCUGUACCGUGGAGACCUGAUGAAUGGUGUCAGUCCUGAUGAAGAUUUAGAUCGUUAAUUUCUGUACCGUAGAGACCUUAUCAGUAUUCACUGCUGACACAAUAUUCAGAAGUAUUAAAUAGGAAACGUUUUCUGUCUGCUCUUCAUUAUAGACAUGCUUAGGAUUAAAACACUUUAAAAUGUUUUGCUGUUUUGACUACAAUGUGAUCUCAAACUAGCUCAGAUAUCAUUGAGGUGUUUUAUUCAAUGAACCGUCUAUGCAUUUUCACAGCUCAUUAUGAUGUAAUGACAGUGUCAGGUUCGUUACAUUACCAGGUACAAUGGUAGUCGAUAAUGAAGAAUAAAUGUUACUCAACAGUAUGUUAUUAUAUACCAGCAGACUUUUUUAUUCCUACAUAUCAUGUAAAAAAAAUGAAAAAAAAAUCUGCCUCUUUUUCAUUUUUUGGGGUUUUUUUUAACAGAUAUUUCUAUAUACAUGUAUAUAUAUAUAAAAAGACAAAAAUCGUGUUUCAAAACAAAUACUCCAACUUAAAAUGGAGUUGUAAUGUCUUCCCACCAUAAACUAAAACACUGAUACUGAUACAGUUGUAUAUUUGGUUUACUGGAGUGUUUUUAUUUGCAUGAGGUAUUGAUUCUUGCAUACUGGAUACAGUGAAAAGGUUAUACAGUUCUGUAAAGGGUUAUCUCCCCUCACCUGUGUAAAAUGAAUUAAAUCAGAUACGUUUUGUACGGCAUCAGGGGAAAUAUUUGAUCAGAUCUGUUUUGUACGACAUUAGGGGAGAUAUUUUGUCAGAUCCAUUUUGGAAAACAUUAGGGGAUCUAUUUUAUCAUAUAUCAAAGAUGGAUAAUCAUGAUAAAAAACAAUGCAAGCACAGAAAGUAAGAUAAUUGUGAGAAUGUCCACUAAUCUGGUACUGUAAGAUAAUUAUGGGAAUGCCCUCUAAUUUGGUACUGUAAGAUGAUUAUGAGAAUGUCCACUAAUCUGGUACUGUAAGAUAAUUAUGAGAAUGCCCUCUAAUCUGGUACUGUAAGAUAAUUAUGAGAAUGCCCUCUAAUCUGGUACUGUAAGAUAAUUGUGAGAAUGCCUCUAAUCUGAUACAGUAAGAUAAUUAUGAGAAUGUCCACUAAUCUGGUACUGUAAGAUAAUUAUGAGAAUGUCCUCUAAUCUGGUACUGUAAGAUAAUUAUGAGAAUGUCCACUAAUCUGGUACUGUAAGAUAAUUAUGAGAAUGCCCUCUAAUCUGGUACUGUAAGAUAAUUAUGAGAAUGCCCUCUAAUCUGAUACAGUAAGAUAAUUAUGAGAAUGCCCUCUAAUCUGGUACUGUAAGAUAAUUAUGAGAAUGCCCUCUAAUUUGGUACUGCAAGAUAAUUAUGAGAAUGUCCACUAAUCUGAUACAGUAAGAUAAUUAUGAGAAUGCCCUCUAAUCUGGUACUGUAAGAUGAUUAUGAGAAUGCCCUCUAAUUUGGUACUGUAAGAUAAUUAUGAGAAUGCCCUCUAAUCUGGUACAGUAAGAUAAUUAUGAGAAUGCCCUCUAAUCUGAUACAGUAAGAUGAUUAUGAGAAUGCCCUCUAAUCUGGUACUGUAAGAUGAUUAUGAGAAUGCCCACUAAUCUGGUACUGUAAGAUGAUUAUGAGAAUGCCCUCUAAUCUGGUACAGUAAGAUAAUUAUGAGAAUGCCCUCUAAUCUGGUACAGUAAGAUAAUUAUGAGAAUGCCCUCUAAUCUGAUACAGUAAGAUAAUUAUGAGAAUGCCCUCCAAUUUGGUACUGUAAGAUAAUUAUGAGAAUGCCCUCUAAUUUGGUACUGUAAGAUAAUUAUGAGAAUGCCCUCUAUUCUGGUACUGUGUUGGCUAUGCUAUCAGGUCUAGGCAUUACAGGUGAAUUUGUAUGGGGUACUUAUUAUAUAAUAAAUAAAAUGAUGAUAUACUUUAAUGUGAGGUGGCAGACCAGGGAGACAGAUCUAUAACGAGAUUACAAGUACACUGAUAAUCUGUACUGCGGUACCAGUUGUCAGUAUCAAAGAUUCUAAGGUUUCAUUUUUUACCAGCUAUUUUUCAGACACAAUGUGUCCUUAUACCUGUUGUAUCACUUGUCAAUCUUAUGUACAUGCAUUAAAACAUUUAAAAGUCA